rfam:Toxocara canis scaffold1534, whole genome shotgun sequence.
GCGGCAAUAGCUCAGUGGUAGAGUUCCCCGCUUCGCGUGCGGGGAGACACGGGUUCGAUACCCGGCUGCUUCC